rnacentral:rRNA from 1 species
UACAGAGGUCUCAAGCGUUGUUCGGAUUCAUUGGGUGUAAAGGGUGCGUAGGCGGCGCGGUAAGUCGGGUGUGAAAUCUCGGGGCUUAACUCCGAAACUGCAUUCGAUACUGCCGUGCUUGAGGACUGGAGAGGAGACUGGAAUUUACGGUGUAGCGGUGAAAUGCGUAGAUAUCGUAAGGAAGACCAGUGGCGAAGGCGGGUCUCUGGACAGUUCCUGACGCUGAGGCACGAAGGUCAGGGGAGCAAACGGG